rnacentral:rRNA from 1 species
GAUGAACGCUGGCGGCGUGCUUAACACAUGCAAGUCGAACGAAGCACUCAUGACAGAUUCUUCGGAUGAUGGAUUGAUUGACUGAGUGGCGGACGGGUGAGUAACGCGUGGGUAACCUGCCUCAUACAGGGGGAUAACAGUUAGAAAUGACUGCUAAUACCGCAUAAGCGCACAGUACCGCAUGGUACGGUGUGAAAAACUCCGGUGGUAUGAGAUGGACCCGNGUCUGAUUAGCUAGUUGGUGGGGUAACGGCCUACCAAGGCGACGAUCAGUAGCCGGCCUGAGAGGGUGAACGGCCACAUUGGGACUGAGACACGGCCCAAAAUCCUACGGGAGGCAGCAGUGGGGAAUAUUGCACAAUGGGGGAAACCCUGAUGCAGCGACGCCGCGUGAGCGAUGAAGUA